UGGGGGAGGAGCGGUCGCCGCGCGUUAGUCAGGGAUCGGUGCGGGUCCUGGUUCCAAUUGAGCCUGUGCCAAAUGUGCUCCUGCCACAUCAUCCCCACUUGAGAACACUGCUAUAGAGCUACAAGAUUAUAGGUAUUUGGUCUGCUGUUCAAAUUAUUGAAGUAAAUCAUUCAGUGUGAAGUAUGAGCCUCAAGUCAAAUUCUGCCAGUGGAACUGAUGAGAGGUGGCGAAUGACUCAAAUGGAGGAGAAGAGAGAUUUGCAAGCUGGAGUGGGUUUGUGGAAAGGACUUCAUGUGAGUCCAGAUCAAGAAGCAAAAUGAAAAGAAUGAAAUUCUUGGACGGUUCUGUUUACAAGUUAAAACCUACAACUUACCGCUAGAGGGCGCUCUUCACUUUGUUAUCUCUCAGAAGCCUUGCCUGGCAAUGGCUGCCAUUCAAAAGGAAAACAUCGCACUUAAUGUUUGUGAAUUGUGUAAGAAUAAUCAGAAGAACCCCACAAUGCUGGUCAGAUUUUUUACCCUUAACGCUUCUGUUGGUUGUGAUGUAAAGUCCUUGACUGAAUCAAAUGUAAACUGUAAGGAUUCAGCAAAUCCAGGUUGCCUGUGCAAAUACCCAUAACAUGUAAUUCACUAUCAACGUUUUUAUUCUCAUAAAACAGACAAAGCACACAAUUAAGAAACUUUAUGCUUCUCUCAUGUUUUCACUUUCAUAGACGCGAUUUCGCAUAUUGAUCACUUUCAUACCAUAUCUUUGUGAGAGGUUUUAUAGCACAAAGUCAAAUAGUUCAUUGGUUUCUUUUUCUUCUUUUUUUUUUUUCCAGAAUGAUAAAUAAUUGACCUUAUAAAAAUCCUGGUCAUUGCACUAAUUUCAUGGAGCUGGUCUAACAUAUCCCUAACU